CAAGUCGAACGAUGAAGUUCCUUCGGGAAUGGAUUAGUGGCGAACGGGUGAGGAACACGUGAGAAACCUGCCUUUCAUUCUGGGAUAACACCGGGAAACCGGUGCUAAUACCGGAUACUCCAUCUUGGCGGCAUCGCCGAGCUGGGAAAAAAUUUUGAUGAAAGAUGGUCUCGCGGCCUAUCAGCUAGUUGGUGAGGUAAAGGCUCACCAAGGCGACGACGGGUAGCCGGCCUGAGAGGGCGACCGGCCACACUGGGACUGAGACACGGCCCAGACUCCUACGGGAGGCAGCAGUAGGGAAUAUUGGGCAAUGGGCGAAAGCCUGACCCAGCGACGCCGCGUGAGGGAUGAAGGUCUUCGGAUUGUAAACCUCUUUCAGUAGGGAAGAAGCGAAAGUGACGGUACCUAAAGAAGAAGCACCGGCUAACUAUGUGCCAGCAGCCGCGGUAAUACAUAGGGUGCAAGCGUUGUCCGGAAUUAUUGGGCGUAAAGAGCUCGUAGGUCGUUUGUCGCGUCGAUUGUGAAAAUCUGAGGCUCAACCUCAAACCUGCAGUCGAUACGGGCAAACUAGAGUGUGGUAGGGGAGACUGGAAUUCCUGGUGUAGCGGUGGAAUGCGCAGAUAUCAGGAGGAACACCAAUGGCGAAGGCAGGUCUCUGGGCCAUAACUGACACUGAGGAGCGAAAGUGCGGGGAGCGAACAGGAUUAGAUACCCUGGUAGUCCGCACCGUAAACGGUGGGCACUAGUUGUGGGAACCUUCCACGGUUUCCGCGACGCAGCAAACGCAUUAAGUGCCCCGCCUGGGGAGUACGAUCGCAAGAUUAAAACUCAAAGGAAUUGACGG
rnacentral:rRNA from 1 species